GAUGAACGCUUGCGGGAGGCCUAACACAUGCAAGCCGAGCGGUAUUGUUUCUUCGGAAAUGAGAGAGCGGCGUACGGGUGCGGAACACGUGUGCAACCUGCCUUUAUCUAGAGGAUAGCCUUUCGAAAGGAAGAUUAAUACUCUAUAAUAUAUUAAUUGGCAUCAAUUGAUAUUGAAAACUCCGGUGGAUAGAGAUGGGCACGCGCAAGAUUAGCUAGUUGGUGAGGUAACGGCUCACCAAGGCGAUGAUCUUUAGGGGGCCUGAGAGGGUGAUCCCCCACACUGGUACUGAGACACGGACCAGACUCCUACGGGAGGCAGCAGUGAGGAAUAUUGGUCAAUGGGUGCAAGCCUGAACCAGCCAUCCCGCGUGAAGGAUUAAGGUCCUAUGGAUUGUAAACUUCUUUUGUAUAGGGAUAAACCUACCCUCGUGAGGGUAGCUGAAGGUACUAUACGAAUAAGCACCGGCUAACUCCGUGCCAGCAGCCGCGGUAAUACGGAGGGUGCAAGCGUUAUCCGGAUUUAUUGGGUUUAAAGGGUCCGUAGGCGGACUUAUAAGUCAGUGGUGAAAUCCUGUCGCUUAACGAUAGAACUGCCAUUGAUACUGUAAGUCUUGAGUAUAUUUGAGGUAGCUGGAAUAAGUAGUGUAGCGGUGAAAUGCAUAGAUAUUACUUAGAACACCAAUUGCGAAGGCAGGUUACCAAGAUAUAACUGACGCUGAGGGACGAAAGCGUGGGGAGCGAACAGGAUUAGAUACCCUGGUAGUCCACGCCGUAAACGAUGCUAACUCGUUUUUGGGCUUUAGGGUUCAGAGACCAAGCGAAAGUGAUAAGUUAGCCACCUGGGGAGUACGCUCGCAAGAGUGAAACCCAAAGGAAUUGACGGGGGCCCGCACAAGCGGUGGAUUAUGUGGUUUAAUUCGAUGAUACGCGAGGAACCUUACCAAGACUUAAAUGGGAAUUGACAGAUUUAGAAAUAGAUCUUUCUUCGGACAAUUUUCAAGGUGCUGCAUGGUUGUCGUCAGCUCGUGCCGUGAGGUGUUAGGUUAAGUCCUGCAACGAGCGCAACCCCUGUCACUAGUUGCCAUCAUUCAGUUGGGGACUCUAGUGAGACUGCCUACGCAAGUAGAGAGGAAGGUGGGGAUGACGUCAAAUCAUCACGGCCCUUACGUCUUGGGCCACACACGUAAUACAAUGGCCGGUACAGAGGGCAGCUACACAGCGAUGUGAUGCAAAUCUCGAAAGCCGGUCUCAGUUCGGAUUGGAGUCUGCAACUCGACUCUAUGAAGCUGGAAUCGCUAGUAAUCGCGCAUCAGCCAUGGCGCGGUGAAUACGUUCCCGGGCCU
rnacentral:rRNA from 1 species